rnacentral:rRNA from 1 species
GACGAACGCUGGCGGCGUGCCUAAUACAUGCAAGUCGAACGAGUUGCGGACGGGUGAGUAACACGUGGGUAACUGCCUGAUGGAGGGGGUUAACUACUGGACACGGUAGCUAAUACCGCAUCCCAUCCGAUGUACCCUGAUGGGGUUAGCUAGUAGGUGGGGGAAUGGCUCACCUAGGCGAGGAUCCCUAGCUGGUCUGAGAGGAUGACCAGCCACACUGGAACGGAGACACGGCCCAGACGCUUACGGGAGGAAGCAGUGGGGAAUAGUGCACAAGGGAGGCAAGCCGGAUACAGCCAUGCCGCGUGUGUGAAGAAGGCCUUCGGGUUGUAAAGCACUUUCAGCGAGGAGGCGUUACUCGCAGAAGAAGCACCGGCUAACUCCGUGCCAGCAGCCGCGGUAAUAC